CUCUCGGCCCAUUGGUCAUUCUGCUUCACUUUGUCCUAAGUAGGAGGAGCCACGCUAACAAGUCUUAAUUCUGCAGGUUUUGCAAUAAAGCAAGCUUUGAGUAAAAAUCUGAAGAAAGUAAUGGAGUGAGCUGUGCAGUUAUCCGAGGAACGAGCCUUCAAGAAAGAGAGACAGCAAAAUUUUCCAUUGUCAUUUGUGCUAUGAGAUGACACCAUCAAGGGGCAGCUGUUGAGUCUACUUUGUGCUGUUCAGACCUUCAACCCCCAAGACUGUAGAUUGAGUGAAGCUUUUCAUCU